rnacentral:lncRNA from 10 species
ACCUCAAGAAAAAAAAGAAGAAAAGAAAAACAAGACCCUCCAGUGUAUGGCAUUUACUCAGGCUGAUUAAGGAGCUGCUGCUUAAUGCAGAAUGGGGAAAUUGAGCAGACAACUUCUUCCAAAACUCAGAUUCAUUCUACAAAGAAUCCACAAGAAAUUCAAUAGACCAGAAAAAGUAGAACAACUGAAUAACAGGUAUAAGAGCCCACAAGGUGAAAACAGCUGGAGUUGAUGGAAUUCAACAGUAUUGUGAUGACUAUAACCCAGGCCCUUUCAGUAUCAGUGUAUCAUCACAGGUGUGCAAGUUCAGGAGCAAUACUCAAUGUAAACUUAAAAAAAAAAAGAAUUUGUAGAUGACAUGGCAGAGAUAGGGUGAGGGUGAUAGUUCAGAAGAGCUAAAAGUUCCUUUGCCAAGGUUGGAACGGGAGUUCAAAGAAAAAACAAAUUUUAAAGAUUUUAAAAAUUAAUUUAUCUUUCCCUUUACUAAGAACCCUAGCCAAACAUACUGAGAAUUAGA